UGGCCAUAGAUACUUCUACUGAGUUUCACCUGAGAGUAAAUAAUCAAGCUGCACUAGUACUGAAGCUCUGACAGCUCUCCAAGGACAUACUUUUAAUUUGGAUUAUUCCUGUACUUUAAGGUAUGAGGCUAAAGGUGGCUUUGCUGCUUCUGCUUACUGUCUGGCUGAAAACAGAUGUGGCGGAGGCCCUGCAGGUGUCUCCCCCGGGGCCAGAGACCAUUCAGAAGGCCGUCGGCGAGAAAGUCAGCCUGGGAUGCACCUUCAUCUCCGGCCCCGAAGACACGGGAGAGCUGGACGUUGAGUGGUCCAAACUCAACCCGGACAUGACACUGAAAGACCAACUGAUAUUAUCGUAUACUGGGUCCAUGACACACUACUACGGCGAUGCCGGGAUCACCAAAAGACUCCAGUUCGAAGGGGACCCCAAGAAGGGAGACGCCUCCAUCUUUUUCUCUGCUGUGAGAGACUCGGACAAAGGCACCUACAUGUGCAAAGUCAAAAUGGCGCCGGGCGUCGACGCGAGAAAGGUCUCUCUGGAGGUGUUGGCUCCCCCAUCGGUGCCAAAGUGUUGGGUUGAAGGCGGAGAGGAGAAAGGUGGCCCGGUCUCCCUCCGCUGUAAGUCCUAUGAAGGAACCAUUCCUCUCAGCUACACGUGGAGCAGAGACACUGGAGGUGUAAUGCCGCUCACUGCAACCCAAGACCCACAGACUGGGGAGCUGUUAAUUAAGAACCAUACAGACAGCAACGUUGGGAGUUACGUGUGCGAGGCCAAAAAUGCAGUGGGCCAAGCACAGUGCAGAUACUCACUGAAUGCAUACAACCCUAUCAAUAAGGCGGGUGUCAUAGCCGGGGCGGUGAUCGGCGCUCUCCUGCUGUUGCUCCUCCUCCUGCUUCUCAUCUGGCUCCUGAUCUGCUGCUGCCACAAGCGGCGCUACGUGAAAGAGGUCGCAAACGAAAUAAGGGAGGACGUCCCGGCUCCAGAAAGCAGACCGACCAGCAGGAACUCCAGUUUCCGCUCAGUGUUGGCGUACCGCACCCACCCCGGGGUGCAAUACAGCUCGGUGAGGAGCAACGGUGCGUCACAGCCUACCCGGGCGGGGGAAGGCCGUCCUCCCCUCAAAUACGACCAGCGAUACGGCUACCCUGUGUAGUCCCUCGUUUUAUUUUUAGUACACGACAACGCCUUCUGACGGGGGAUGUUUUACUUCAAGUAAGAAACUAUAUAUAUAUUAAAUUGUAAAGAACUCAAUGUAAAGUAUGUGUAUGAACAAUUUUGCUAGUUCAAUAUAUCUACCUGGAGAAUAAUGGGAGCGUAAUCAGAUUUCAGGGCCGAGCCCUUGUACAAACAAAGAUGUGGAUGACUUCCAUAGUGCACUGGAGUACAUCGUCGCUACUACUACUAAUAUUAUUGUUGCACUGAUUUUGCUGAACGUGUGUGUAAAAUGUAAAUAUCAAAAGACAGAUUUCUACUGGUGCCUUUUUUUUUUUUUUUUUUUCAAACAAUGUAUGGACAAUAAAACCUUUUUUAACUCCGACGUUGAUGAGGAGAGUACCAUCUGAAUCUCAUUCAGGGCUCACGGAGCAGCCACAUUUUAGCGCCGUUGGUCCCUCUUUUAUGUCUUUAUGAUAUCUGACACAACAUAAUGCAACAACAUUUGGAGCACCUGAGCUCCUAGAACGUAUAACCGUCUAAAAUUGCUUAAUCAAAUUAAUCUUACCGCGGCAUCAUGAUGAAAUUAGGCAUGUUAUUUUGUCAUGGGAAAAUUAGAUAUGAAUUCAUCAAAUUAAAUGAAAUGUUGUUGUUGGAGGUUCCAAAACACAUUGUUAUUAAUUAAAAAAAAUGAAUUAGGAGUGCAUUGAAAAUGAAGAUGGUGAUCAUUUUUGGCCCUUUCUUUGUACGUGGAAAAAAAGGUUAUCCAGAUAUCGGAGUUGGCGAUUUGAUACCAGUCUGGAUUCAUUGGUUCUUCAAACCUUUUUUUCCUCAUCUAAAAUAAUUCUGUGAUGGUUUGUUUGUGUUUGUUAUUUCUGGCUGCAUGCACAAGGUCGUCUUGCGGUGAGGUUUAUACUGACAUUGAGAUUAUUUGGAGUUAAAUUUAAAAUAAUAGUUUUUCCUUUUAAUCAUUACAAUCUAUUGAAUUAAUUAAUUAACUGCACUACUCACUUUGCUGAAAGUUACUCAUGUUCAAAGCUGCUUAAAAAAAUAUUGUUAGGGUUUACUUUUCAACACAGGCCUGUGAUUACCUUGGUAGACAAUGGGGACUAACAGCACUCAUAGACUGUGAUGGACAAUGAUGGAAGUUUGAAAACAUUGUGGACCCCAAAGUAGAACAAAAUGACACUAUUAACACAGUAAACUGAGACCAUGAAUGCGUCCAUUGCCUCAGUGAAUGCCGGGGUGGUUCUUAACGCACUUGCCACCCUGCAGGCUAUAAUGACCUAUGACGAUCAUAUUUAUUUUUUUAAUAAAAUGUGUUUCUCACACUCCUGUAACAAUAAAAAAUUCUCAGUGUGGAGUCAUUAUAUAUUAAACCAACUCUGAGAAGAAUAUUCUUUGGAUAAAAGUUUGUCACUGUUGAUUUUUUAUGCAAAUUCUGUGUAUAACAAAGACCUAUUGUCUGGAUUCUUGAAAAUAAUUUGAAUUUAAUUGAAAAACAAAAAGGCCAUAAUUAUAGAACAGUAUUGACGUGUCUCCUUUUUGUCUUUAUAUUAUUUCAUCAUGUUUUUUCUAUUUUUUUAUUAUUUAUACUUUUUUCCUGUCUAUAUUUGGUGUUGGCCCCUUGGAAAUAUAAGUUAGAAUGUUAUUUUGCUGUUUGUUAGUGACGAUUUGUGAAAUUGUACCUGUACAGUUAAAUAAAAACUAACUAUAGAAAUGAUUUGUUAAGCUAGGUUAAAUUCUCCAUUCUGUUAAGCUAGUUCUGCUCUCUGUUAGUAACACAGUUGUUUCCAUGUAAAGCCACGCUGGUAUUUUAAUGGGCUUUGUGAAGUGUCUUUAAAUAAAGCGUAUCAAGUGUU